AGUAACAUCCGGAAACGGGUGCUAAUACCGCAUAGUUUUCUUGAUCGCAUGAUUGAGAAAGGAAAGACGGCCUUUGUGCUGUCGCUUAUGGAUGGACCCGCGGCGUAUUAGUUAGUUGGUGAGGUAACGGCUCACCAAGACGAUGAUACGUAGCCGACCUGAGAGGGUGAUCGGCCACAUUGGGACUGAGACACGGCCCAAACUCCUACGGGAGGCAGCAGUAGGGAAUCUUCCGCAAUGGACGAAAGUCUGACGGAGCAACGCCGCGUGAGUGAAAGAAGGUUUUCGGAUCGUAAAACUCUGUUGUCAGAGAAGAACAAGUUGGAGAGUAACUGCUCCAGCCUUGACGGUAUCUGACCAGAAAGCCACGGCUAACUACGUGCCAGCCGCCGC
rnacentral:rRNA from 1 species